UACGGAGGGUGCAAGCGUUAUCCGGAUUUACUGGGUUUAAAGGGAGCGUAGGUGGGUCGGUAAGUCAGUGGUGAAAUCUUCGAGCUUAACUCGGAAACUGCCAUUGAUACUAUCGAUCUUGAAUUAUCUGGAGGUAAGCGGAAUAAUGUCAUGUAGCGGUGAAAUGCUUAGAUAUGACAUAGAACACCCAUGCGAAGGCAGCUUACUACGGAUAUAUUGACACUGAGGCUCGAAAGCGUGGGGAUCAAACAGG
rnacentral:rRNA from 1 species